GACGAACGCUGGCGGCGUGCCUAAUACAUGCAAGUCGAACGCAGUGGGGACGGGUGAGUAACACGUGGGUAACCUCCCAUCAGAGGGGAUAACACUUGGAAACAGGUGCUAAACCGAUACUGAUGGAUGGACCCGCGGUGCAUUAGCUAGUUGGUGAGGUAACGGCUCACCAAGGCCACGAUGCAUAGCCGACCUGAGAGGGUGAUCGGCCGAACUGGGACUGGGACACGUCCCAGACUCCUACGGGAGGCAGCAGUAGGGAUUCUGCGGCAAUGGACGAAAGUCUAACCGAGCAACGCGGGGGGAGUAAAGAAGGGUUUCGGAUCGUAAAACUCUGUUGUUGGAGAAGCGGUAUCUAACCAGAAAGCCACGGCUAACUACGGGCCAGCAGCCGCGUUAAAC
rnacentral:rRNA from 1 species